AGAGUUUGAUCCUGGCUCAGAACGAACGCUGGCGGCGCGUCUUAAGCAUGCAAGUCGAACGGCAAGGCGGGUGCUUGCACCUGCCCUAGAGUGGCGGACUGGUGAGUAACACGUGGGUGACAUACCCUGCAGCUGGGGAUAGCUGAUAGAAAUAUCAGAUAAUACCGAAUACGACCCCUGAUGUGGUAAUCGGGGAGGAAAGGAGCUACGGCUCCACUGCAGGAAUGGCCCGCGUCCUACCAGCUAGUUGGUGAGGUAACGGCCCACCAAGGCAAUGACGGGUAUCCGGCCUGAGAGGGUGAUCGGACACAUUGGGACUGAGAUACGGCCCAGACUCCUACGGGAGGCAGCAGCUAAGAAUAUUCCGCAAUGGACGAAAGUCUGACGGAGCGACGCCGCGUGGAUGAUGAAGGUCGGAAGAUUGUAAAAUCCUUUUGAAUGAGACGAAUAAGCAGGUCAGGGAAUGGGCUUGUGGUGACGGUAUCAUUUGAAUAAGCAACGGCUAAUUACGUGCCAGCAGCCGCGGUAACACGUAAGUUGCGAGCGUUGUUCGGAAUUAUUGGGCGUAAAGGGCAUGUAGGCGGUUCUGCAAGCUUGGUGUGAAAUCCCGGAGCUUAACUCCGGAACUGCAUUGAGAACUGCAGGACUAGAAUUACUGAAGGGCAACUGGAAUUCCAAGUGUAGGGGUGAAAUCUGUAGAUAUUUGGAAGAACACCAAUGGCGAAGGCAAGUUGCUGGCAGAUAAUUGACGCUGAGGUGCGAAGGUGCGGGGAGCAAACAGGAUUAGAUACCCUGGUAGUCCGCACAGUAAACUAUGUACACUAGGUGUCUGGGCAUGAGCCUGGGUGCCAAAGCAAACGUGAUAAGUGUACCGCCUGGGAAGUAUACCCGCAAGGGUGAAACUCAAAGGAAUUGACGGGGGCCCGCACAAGCGGUGGAGCAUGUGGUUUAAUUCGAUGGUACGCGAGGAACCUUACCUGGGUUUGACAUAUACUGGAAUGAGUCAGAGAUGAUUCAGCGUAGCAAUACGCCGGUAUACAGGUGCUGCAUGGCUGUCGUCAGCUCGUGCCGUGAGAUGUUGGGUUAAGUCCCGCAACGAGCGCAACCCCUAUUGUUAGUUGCUACGCAAGAGCACUCUAACGAGACUGCCGUUGACAAAACGGAGGUAGGCGGGGACGACGUCAAAUCAUCAUGCCCCUUAUGUCCUGGGCUACACACGUAAUACAAUGGCGAUCAACAAAGGGAAGCAAAACCGCGAGGUGGAGCAAAUCCCCAAAAGUCGUCUCAGUUCGGAUCGUGGGCUGCAACCCGCCCACGUGAAGUCGGAAUUGCUAGUAAUCGCGGAUCAGCAUGCCGCGGUGAAUACGUUCCCGGGCCUUGCACUCACCGCCGGUCA
rnacentral:rRNA from 1 species